UGAAGGUCACAAACAUGUGCAACAGCUGUGCAAGAUUGCAGAUCCACGUUGCCUCGUCUGAUGUCAUGUCGUGUGCAGUGAGCAUGAGAAAAACAACCCUACUUUACCCUAGACUAGAAAAAAGACUGGAGGUCAGAAUGCAGGAUGAUUGAGCAUGGAGUGCUGGCAGAUGGACUAUUGAGGUCAACAAAAAAUUUGGACUUUCACCAGGUGGACACAUGUUCAGCAAGAAAUUCUCACAUCAAAUGAAUGAUGGCUGUCUGUGGAAAAGAGAUUUUCUCAGAAUAUAUCAUGUCAGAAGCAGGAAUUACAUAUUUAUCUGAUCAAAGAAAUGUUUUUGUAGAAAUGUGGAAGUCAAUGCAUGUUAUC